UUGAAAGGGAAACGAUUGAAGUCAGUCGUACCAGCGGGAAAUCAACCUUUCGAGUAGGGNUUUUGGAGUUUUUUGAAGAGUGUCAAAACCUUUGAGAUUUCAAAAUAUUCGCUCUUUUGGUGUACUUUCUCGUGGGUAGGUUAACAUCGAUUUUGAUCAUCAUAAAAAGAUUGGAGGAAUGUAGCUUCGAUCUUGUAUUGAAGUGUUAUAGCCUUUGGUAAAUGUGAUGAUUAGGAUCGAGGAUUGCAACGAAUACCCUUUUGGGCUAUCCGCCUGAUCUCUGAUACGUGGCCUUGGUAUCGAAAGCGUGCUUAUGGUAUUGAGGUAUUACGGUCAAAAGGUUAGAACGGAUUACAUUCGUUAAGGAUGUUGACGUA
rnacentral:rRNA from 1 species